AUGGAUCAAAAAGGAGUUAAAAUGAAUUACUUAUGAAUUAAACAAGUUUUUGGAAUUAUUUCAAAACUAGAAAACAUUUUCUGAGUUAAUUUAUUCCAUUUAUUCACUCCAUGGGCUGCGGCUAGGAUUUUCUAAUAGUUCAUGGUUUAGACUGUUAAAAUCAGGACCUAUGUGCAAUGUUUUCAACACAGAAAGGGAUGGUGGGUUGAUAUGUAAAAAGGGCAGGGGCUCUUUUACAAAAUGGGAUCGGUGAAGGGGUAAGGAGUGCACUGGGCCAUUAGAUCCAGUACGCAUGGUCUCGAUUUAAAUUAACCGAGGCACGAACCGACCCGAGAUAUGCCCACGCCAGAACCUAGUCCUAGCCCUCUGAUUCAAUCUUAAUGGCUCUAGAUUAAAUCAGCGGGAGGUAUUUAAUUAUUUAAUCCUGGGCGCACAAUGACGGAUCAACGGCCCCGCAACUCUCUUCUUCCUCUGACCUGCUAUAGCGGUAGAGACGGGCACCACGGCAGCUCCCACGCCGGUGAACCCGACUCAGUUCCCCCCGAGUGCGCAGAAAUCCACCCUGUUCACGAUCAGCCGCAACGCCGCGGGGAUUAAAAACUCCGUUGAACGAUUCCCCGCGCCCAACUCUACCAAUCCAAUCCCAAAUCUGGUGUACUUAUCGGGGUAAAUGAAUUGAAUGCCAAAGGGAAGGCCAUACCGGUGCUGGUGAUGCCAGGAAGCCGGUCCACGUCGAGGCACGGGCACACAGCCAAGCACGAUACGACGAGCAAUCCAAGGAGCACCACAGCUCCACACACCGAUGAUUCUUCACGUGUAACUCCCUCCGCCUACCACGACAAUCACACGAACCCUGCAUAUGUGCUCCAGGCUUCGACUAGGGCGGCGAAUUGCGACAGCGGCAGACGCUCUUUCAUGACCCGAACCCUCUCCUCUCGACUUGGCGCUCAAGUGGUUUGGAGAAGAUGGUGAACACGAACGAGGAGGGGGGUGCUUGGCUUCUUUUUUGUAGUCGAACUGAGACGACUACUCGGUCAGCUGGCGCCCACGAGGAUUGCGGCGACUCUGUUACGCCAGCCGGAGUUCGUC
rnacentral:lncRNA from 1 species